AUGAAGCACCCGAUGCAGAUCAGGAAGCCAAUAGCUUUCCUCAAACAUCUCAAGAAGCCAAUCUACAGGCUCUCUCUUCAGCUGAAACAUCCGUCUUCUCAACUCCAACAUUUACAUUCAACUUCAGUCCCACCAGCUCUCCUCGUCAAGGCACUCCCGAUUCUAAAUCUUCAGCUUUUGUGCUGAAUCUGAACUCUAAUGUUAGCACACCUGGAUUUCCUGGAUUUGGAUUUGAUGUUGGCCCAUCCCAAGAAGAAGAAUCCUCUUUUGCUUUUCCUGGCUCUUUUUUCAACGACAAGAAAGCCACAGAUGCUAAAUCUUCAAGCACUACCGAGUUCCUGUUUGACCAACCAGAACAAAGUGAAGACUUCCAGUUUCCCUUUACAAGCAAGAGUCCUCAGUCAAGCAAGAAAAU